rnacentral:rRNA from 1 species
UCCGUAGGCGGGUAAUUAAGUCAGAGGUGAAAUCCCACAGCUUAACUGUGGAACUGCCUUAGAUACUGGUUAUCUCGAGUUUUAGUGAAGUAGAUAGAAUGUGUAGUGUAGCGGUGAAAUGCAUAGAUAUUACACAGAAUACCGAUUGCGAAGGCAGUCUACUAACUAACAACUGACGCUAAUGGACGAAAGCGUGGGGAGCGAACAGGAUUAGAUACCCUGGUAGUCC